rnacentral:rRNA from 1 species
GAUGAACGCUAGCGGCAGGCUUAAUACAUGCAAGUCGAGGGGUAGCAAGAUUGUAGCAAUACAAUUGUUGACGACCGGCAAACGGGUGCGGAACACGUACACAACCUUCCUACAAGUGGGGAAUAGCCCAGAGAAAUUUGGAUUGAUACCCCGUAACAUAGCGAUGUGGCAUCACAUUGCUAUCAUAGCUUCGGCGCUUGUUGAUGGGUGUGCGGCUGAUUAGAUAGUUGGCGGGGUAACGGCCCACCAAGUCUACGAUCAGUAGCUGAUGUGAGAGCAUGAUCAGCCACACGGGAACUGAGACACGGGCCCGACUCCUACGGGAGGCAGCAGUAAGGAAUAUUGGACAAUGGACGCAAGUCUGAUCCAGCCAUGCCGCGUGAAGGAUUAAGGUCCUCUGGAUUGUAAACUUCUUUUAUAAGGGACGAAAAAAGGUCUUUCUAGAUCGUCUGACGGUACCUUAUGAAUAAGCACCGGCUAACUCCGUGCCAGCAGCCGCCGUAAUAC